rnacentral:rRNA from 1 species
UACAGAGGUCUCAAGCGUUGUUCGGAUUCAUUGGGCGUAAAGGGUGCGUAGGCGGCGGGGUAAGUCUGAUGUGAAAUCCCGGGGCUCAACCCCGGAACUGCAUUGGAUACUGCCUUGCUAGAGUACUGGAGAGGAGAUUGGAAUUUACGGUGUAGCAGUGAAAUGCGUAGAUAUCGUAAGGAAGACCAGUGGCGAAGGCGAAUCUCUGGACAGUUACUGACGCUGAGGCACGAAGGCCAGGGGAGCAAACGGG